rnacentral:lncRNA from 1 species
UUUUUUUUUUUUUUUUUUUUUUUUAAUCUCACAUGAAGCAAUUUCCUUUCUUUUUGUAACUCCUGGGAAGCUCAGACUCACCGAGCUGGGCAGGGACCCCCUUCCUUCAUCCCACUGAUCCCAAUCCUAUUUCUUGCCCCGGAACCAGCUCUGGCAGCGGGAAAGGCAGCGCUCCACGAUGCUGGAAGUGCAGGAGUUGAGGCAGAACGGGCUCCGUGGGGAUGUUUGGGAUUUGGUGUCCUUGGCAUCUCCGGCGUCCUCAAGUCCCUGGGAUUGCGACGCGCAGGGAUCCGCGGAAAUCCCGCUUUGGGAUGCGCAAGAAUCCAUGGAAAUCCCGCUUUGGGACACACAGGGACCCGUGGAAAUCCCACUUUGGGACACGCAGGGAUCCCCCGGGAUCACACCCUGGUCCUGGCAAGGCUCAUCUGCGCCCAACUCCACCACCUCGAGGGUGCAGGGUUCGGCGGCCGGGAGCUCCUGGCUGAGCUUUUCCAGGUUGUCCAGGCAGGUCCCGGCGGUUUUGGUGUCUCCGAGCUCCUCCUGGGGCAGCGGGAAGGUCCCGGCGGCGUCAGGGGGACACAGCUCCACGGUCAGGAUGGAUUUCUGCAGCGGGAACCUCAUCACGCACAUCCCGGGGGUCUCAAAGGUGAAGGGCUCCUCUGCCGAGCUCUGGAUUUUCACGGGAUCCGCGCAGGGCCCCGAGUCCGUGGGGAGGGAUGGGGAGGUGACCCUGAGGGGGACCUGGGGGGGGUCACAGGGACAGGAGGGACAAACGUCCUGGCACGGGCAGGGAUCCGCCUGGGAAUUCUGCUCCGGGGCCACCACGGCACAGGGAUGGCUCUGGGCAGCCUCUUCCAGGCAGGAACAGGGCGGGCACUGGGAAUUCAUCUCCCUGCGAUGGAGAGCUGCAAGAGAAAGGAACAAUUUCACGCCCAAUCCCACAAAAAAUCAGGGGAAAAUUCCUCAUUUUUUCACUUUUCCCUUCAAACUCCCAAAAUCAGAUUUUCUCAUUAAAAUCUGCUCUCAGCCAAACAAUUCCAACAAUUUGCCAACUUUUUUUUUGGGGGUAAUAAUGGAUUUGAUUCACGUUUUCAGGUUUAUGGAUUUCAAGUGGCUCCCUUCCCCAGCUGUUUUUCCCUUCUCCAGUUGUUUGGAAUGGAUCCUGGAUCUCCUGGCAGGAUGGGGUUUAAUCCCACUAAACCCAGUGCUGGAACAAGAGGAAUUUUCCAGAACAUCCCUGGGAAUUCCAGAAUUACAGCCAAGCCAGCGUGAGGGAAGGAUUUUGCGCUCUGUAACCUUUAUCCCCAAGGAAAUCGAGUGCCAUAAAUCCCCCUUUCUCAGCUUUCCAGGGAAUCUAUUCUGGAAAACGACCACUGGGAUCUGCAGGAUCCCAAGGAGACUCACCUGGGUCGGGAUCGGCAGGGCGGACGCGGCCGCGUUAUCCCGGGAUGUUCCUGGUGUGUUCCCGGGCCUCCGGAGCCGCGCGGCCCCAGGCACCUGGAGCUGCUGACGGCCUCGCUCCGCCCCAGCCCCGCCAGGGAUGAUUUGCCUAAUUAUUUUUAAUGGAAAACGCCUAUUUCCGUGGCUGGAGCCAGACCUGGAGCUCGGGAAUUCACGUGGCCCCGCAGACGCCAGGGAGGAAUUUGGGAAAUGAGUGGAUUCCCGGCCAGCUCUCCAAUAAUCACCCGGUGACCGGGCAGGUUUUUGGGAUGCUCCAGCAUCCUCCAGCCCAACACCUCGUGAGGUCCAUUAGGGACAGGAUGGGAUGUGGGAUUUGGGGGAUUCUUUUAUUUUUAGACACGUCUGACCUUUUUCUGUCCUGUUUUUCCACGGAGCUGCUGGAAACUCUUUGCUCACCGCUCAUCUCGUGAUGUUUUCCAUCCGCUCCCGAAGUUCUGACUCAAAUCCCGUCUCUGUUGUCGUGACGGUGGCGGUGUCCUCGUGUGGGACGAGCGGGCAGGUGACUGGAGGAGUGACCACCACCCUUUUCCCUUUGUUUUAUCCCAAACCCACUGAAUUCCACCCAGCUGGAAAGCCAUAAAACCAAAAACGUGAAUAAAAUCUGUUCCCUUCCCCCUCCCAAAAAAACCAUUGGGAAAUCAUUGGAAAUGUUCAGCUGAGGACAGAUUUGAGCAAGAAAAGCUCCUUUUGGGGGGUUUGAACAGAAAAGCAAAAAAAGGAGGAAAUUUCUCCUGCAGUCAGCAGCAAAUUCCCAACCCAAGGGGUCACGAAUCCCAGAUGUAUUUAUUUUCAGGAAAUAACCAAAACCAACCACACUGGACACCCAAAUUUGGAGGGAGAAGAAGCAAAACCCCUCUGGUGUCCUGGUGGAAAACGGCCUCGCCUCUGGUGCGAGUCACUCCUGUCCCUGGCUGUGUCACCGGGUGACUUCGGGAGCAAUUCCAGAGCCUUUGAUGUCUCGGGGGAACUGGUUGGGUCUCUCUUCCUUCUUUUCCAGGCAGGGACGACUUUUCCGCGGGGAGAAAGCGGCAGCUCCGAGUGAUGGCCUCGUGAAGUUUGUCACCUUCUCGGGCUGGGUGUGACCUCCUGGCACCCAAAACGGGCACAAAAAUCGGCCCAAAGGCCACUGAGAUCAGAGAGUUCAUCCCUCAUCGCCCUGGGUGUCGCCUGGUGGAGCUGGGACACGUGGGAGAGGUCCUGGAAGAUCCUGGAGAUCCUCGAAAUGUGAAGAUUUCCCUGGAGGCCAACAGCCAAAAUCCCAACAAAUCAAACUAAUCAAAUUUGUCUUAAAAACACAA